UUGAUGACCGACACGUAAGCGCACCUUGGCUUUUGUCAAUCGUGGAAAUCACUCUGAGACCCCAAAACAGUGAGUAAUAGUCCAUGAAACGGGUCAGAAUCGGGCACAACUGCGAGUGUCUAUGACCGGCACGUAAGCGCACCUUGGGGUUUGUCAAUCAUGGAAAUCACUCUGAGACCCCAAAAUAGUGAGUAAUCAUCCACGAAACGGGCCACAGUCGGUCGAAACUGUGAGUGUUGAUGACUGACACGUAAGUGCACCUUGGGGUUCGUCAAUCGUGGCAAUCACUUCGAUCUCANNNNNNNNNNAUCGUGGGACUCACUCCGGGACCCCAAAACAGUGAGUAAUAGUCCACAAAACGGGCCAGAAUCGGCCGAAACUACGAGUGUUGAUGACCGACACGUAAGCACACCUUGGGGUCCGUCAAUCGUGGGACUCACUCGGGACCCCAAAACAGUGAGUAAUAGUCCACUAAACGGGCAAGAAUCGGCCGAAACUACGAGUGUUGAUGACCGACACGUAAGCGCACCUUGGGGUUCGUCAAUCGUGGAAAUCACUCCGGGACCGCAAAACAGUCAGUAAUAGUCCACGAAACGGGCCAGAACCGGCCAAAACUACGGGUGUUGAUGACAGACACGUAAGCGCACCUUGGGGUUCAUCAAUCGUGGGACUCACUUUGGGACCCCAAAACAGUGAGUAAUAGUCCACGAAACGGGCCAGAAUUAGCCAAAACGGUGAGUGUUGAUGACCGACACGUAAGCGCACCUUGGGGUUCGUCAAUCAUGGAAACCACUCCGGGACACCAAAACAGUGAGUAACAGUCCACGAAACGGGCCAGAGCCAGCCAAAACUGCGAGUNNNNNNNNNNAACUGCGAGUGUCUAUGACCGGCACGUAAGCGCACCUUGGGGUUUGUCAAUCAUGGAAAUCACUCUGAGACCCCAAAAUAGUGAGUAAUCAUCCACGAAACGGGCCACAGUCGGUCGAAACUGUGAGUGUUGAUGACUGACACGUAAGUGCACCUUGGGGUUCGUCAAUCGUGGCAAUCACUUCGAUCUCACAAAACAGUGAGUAAUAGUCCAUGAAACGGGCCAGAAUCGGCCAAAACUGCGAGUGUUGAUGACCUACACGUAAAUGCACCUCAGGCUUCGUUAAUCGUGGAAAUCACUCUAAGACCCCAAAACAGUGAGUAAUAGUCCACGAAACGGGCCAAAAUCGGCCAAUACUGCAAGUGUUGAUGGACUUGAGGUAUCGCACGUUGGGGUUCAACAACCAUGCAAAUCGCUUCGGGACCCCAAAACGGGGAGUAAUAGUCCACGAAACGGGACAGAACCGGCCAAAACUGCUUGUGUUUAUGACCGACACAUAAGCACACCUUGGGGUUCAACAACUAUGCAAAUCACUUUGAGACCCCAAAACAAAGAGUAAUAGUCCAUGAAAUGGGCGAGAAUCGGCCAAAACUGUGAGUAUCCAUGACCGACAUGUAAGCGAUCCUUGGCUUUUGUCAAUCAUGGAAAUCACUCCGAGACCCCAAAACAGUGAGUAAUAAUCCAUGAAACGGGCCAGAAUCAGCCAAAACUGCGAGUGUUGAUGACCGACACGUAAGCACACCUUGGGGUUCGUCAAUCGUGGAAAUCACUCAGAGAUCCCAAAACAGUGAGUAAUAGUCCACGAAAUGGGCCAAAAUCGGCCAAACUGCGAGUGUUGAUGACCGACACGUAAGCGCACCUUGGNNNNNNNNNNNNNNNNNNNNNNNNNNNNNNNNNNNNNNNNNNNNNNNNNNNNNNNNNNNNNNNNNNNNNNNNNNNNNNNNNNNNNNNNNNNNNNNNNNNNNNNNNNNNNNNNNNNNNNNNNNNNNNNNNNNNNNNNNNNNNNNNNNNNNNNNNNNNNNNNNNNNNNNNNNNNNNNNNNNNNNNNNNNNNNNNNNNNNNNNNNNNNNNNNNNNNNNNNNNNNNNNNNNNNNNNNNNNNNNNNNNNNNNNNNNNNNNNNNNNNNNNNNNNNNNNNNNNNNNNNNNNNNNNNNNNNNNNNNNNNNNNNNNNNNNNNNNNNNNNNNNNNNNNNNNNNNNNNNNNNNNNNNNNNNNNNNNNNNNNNNNNNNNNNNNNNNNNNNNNNNNNNNNNNNNNNNNNNNNNNNNNNNNNNNNNNNNNNNNNNNNNNNNNNNNNNNNNNNNNNNNNNNNNNNNNNNNNNNNNNNNNNNNNNNNNNNNNNNNNNNNNNNNNNNNNNNNNNNNNNCCACGAAACAGGCCAGAAUCGGCCAAAACUGCGAGUGUUGAUGACCGACACGUAAACGCACCUCGGGGUUCGUCAAUCGUGGAAAUCACUCCGAGACCCCAAAACAGUGAGUAAUAGUCCACCAAACGGGCUAGAAUCGGCCAAAACUGCGAGCGUUGAUGACCGACAUGUAAGUGCACCUUGGCUUUCGUGAAUCGUGGAAAUCACUCCGAGUCCCCUAAAGAGUGAGUAAUAGUCCACAAAACGGGCUAGAAUCGGCCAAAACUACGAGUGUUGAUGACCGACAGGUAAGUGCACCUUGGGGUUCAACAACUAUGCAACAAGUAUAGGGGGUCGCAAUAGUUUCCGAGGGUAGAGUAUUCAACCCAAAUUUGUUGAUUCGACACAAGGGGAGCCAAAGAAUAUUCUCAAGUAUUAGCAGGUGAGUAGUCAAUUCAACCACACCUGGAAACUUAGUAUCUGCAGCAAGGUGUUUAGUAGCAAAGUAAUAUCAUAGUGGUGGUAAUGGUAACAAAAGUAAAGACAGCAAAAGUAAUGUUUUUUUGUAUUUUGUAUUGAUUGUAACAAUAACAACGGAAAAGUAAAUAAGCGAGAACCAGUAGAUGGAAAACUCGUAGGCACCGGAUCAAUGAUGGAUAAUUAUGUCGGAUGUGGUUCAUCAUGUAAUAGUCAUAACAUAGGGUGACACAGAACUAGCUCCACUUCAUCAAUGUAAUGUAGGCAUGUAUUCCGAAUAUAGUCAUACGUGCUUAUGGAAAAGAACUUGCAUGACAUCUUUUGUCCUUGGCUUAAUCUCGGGUCAAUAUGCUUAAUCUCAGUUCAAAUCGCACUCCGUGGUCAAACUUCCCGAAAGGUCACCCAUCCUCAAACUACUCCAGCCCAAGCACGCUUAACUUCAGAGUUCUAUCCAACCCCAGCAACAGCUCACUUCACAGGCACUUGUUGAUAUAUCUAGCAUAUCAAUCCUAUUAUACCUUGUUGAUGUCUAGGACUUUGUUCAUGUUCAUGACUAUGAUGAAAUUUUGAAAAAUAUUUCAAACUUCCCGGUCAUAUUACGUAUCAUUUUUUGAAAAAAAAUUCAAAAAAAAUGAAAACCAAUUUAUUUUUUUCUGUUACUAGUGGCGCACCACAUCCACGGUGCGCCACUAGUAAGUUUGAAAUUUUUUGAAUUUUUUUGCCUCUAGAUCUUGAAAGCCUCGUAACUUUUUUCUGUUAGGUUUUUGGUGAUUUUGAAAAUGUUUAACGUGGUUCCCCCAGUUAAAUUUGGAUGUAACUUUUCGAGUAGAUGAUUCUUCAUAUAAAAAACUUUUUCAUCCGAGUUCGUAUGCAAAAGUUAUGCCCAUUUUACAAAUUUCCAGAGAGAUUUUGCAAAUAAAGUCGAAAUUCAUAUUUGUAAAUUUUCCCAACAACUAGACCACAUAUCACAUGGGAAACUUAUUUUCUUUUAUUUUUUGACAUUUCCAUCAUUUUCUUUUAUUUUUUUUAAAUUGAAAAGGCGAUCCACACGGGGGGGUGCAUUCGGCAACUUUUGGGCCAAGUUAGUAAUGGCGCACCGUGGGGUGGUGCGCCAUUGAUAGUUAAACUAAUAAUGGCGCACCACACCCACUGUCCACAGGUGCGCCAUUACUAACAAAAAAAAUUUCAAAACUACUAAUGGCGCACGGUGGGUGUGGUGCGCCAUUACUAUGUCAACAUAGUAAUGGCGCACCACACCCAUCGUGCGCCAUUAAUAGUUUUGAAAAAAUUUAAAAAAAUUUACUAAUGGCGCACCGUGGGAUGUGGUGCGCCAUUAGUACUUGCACACUAAUGGCGCACCAACACAUGGUGCGCCAUUAGUAUUUAGUAAUGGCGCACCACAUGUACAGUGCGCCAUUAGUGUCCAUCCCAUCUAUAGCCCUUUUCCUAGUAGUGACUCCUCAAACUGUGGUCAUCACCGAGAAGUAUCCCGAUUAUUGUCACUUCGGGGUUGUCGAAUCAUAACACAUAAUAGGUGACUAUAGACAUGCAAGAUAGGAUCAAGAACACACAUAUAUUCAUGAAAACAUAAUAGGUUCAGAUCUGAAAUCAUGGCACUCGGGCCCUAAUGACAAGCAUUAAGCGUAGCAAAGUCAUAGCAACAUCAAUCUUAGAACAUAGUGGAUACUAGGGAUCAAACCCUAACAAAACUAACUCGAUUACAUGAUAAAUCUCAUCCAACCCAUCACCGUCCAGCAAGCCUACGAUGGAAUUACUCACGCACGGCGGUGAGCAUCAUGAAAUUGGUGAUGGAGGAUGGUUGAUGAUGAUGACGGCGACGAAUCCCCCUCUCUGGAGCCCCGAACGGACUCCAGAUCAUCCCUCCCGAGAGAGAUUAGGGCUUGGCGGCGGCUCCGUAUCGUAAAACGCGAUGAAACUUUUCGCUCUCCUUUUUUUCUCCCUGAAAGCCAGUUGGAGUUGGCGUCGGAGGGCAUCCAGGGGGCCCACGAGGUAGGAGGGCGCGCCCGGGGGGAGGGGCGCGCCCCCCACCCUCGUGGACAGGGUGUGGGCCCCCUAGUCUUCAUCUUUGGCGAGGAUUUUUUAUUAUUUAUUCUAAGAUAUUCCGUGGAGUUUCAGGUCAUUCCGAGAACUUUUGUUUUCUGCACAUAAAACAACAUCAUGGCAAUUCUGCUGAAAACAACGUCAGUCCGGGUUAGUUCCAUUCAAAUCAUACAAGUUAGAGUCCAAAGCAAGGGCAAAAGUGUUUGGAAAAGUAGAUACGAUGGAGACGUAUCAACUCGCCCAAGCUUAAACCCUUGCUUGUCCUCAAGCAAUUCAGUUGAUAAACUGAAAGAGAAAAAAGAAAAACUUGUACAAACACUGUUUGCUCUUGUUGUUGUAAACAUGAAAAGCCAGCAUUCAAGUCUCAGCAAUUAUUAUGAACUAACCAUACUCACAAUGACACGUAGGUCUCACAAUUACUCAUAUCAAUAGCAUAAUCAGCUAGCAAGCCAUAAUAAUAAAACUCGGAUGACAACACUUUCUCAAAAUAAUCAUAACAUGAUAUAACAAAAUGGUAUCUUGCUAGCCCUUUCUGAGACCGCAAAACAUAAAUGCAGAACACCUUUAAAGAUCAAGGACUGAGUAAACAUUGUAAUUCAUGGUAAAAUAGAUCCAAUCAAGUCAUACCCAAUAUAAACCAAUAAUGAUGAAUGCAAACGACAGUGUGCUCUCCAGCGGGUGCUUUUUGCGUAUACUCCAAUAAGAAGGAUGAUGACUCAACAUAAAAGUAAAUAGAUAGGCCCUUCGCAGAGGGAAGCAGGGAUUUGUAGAGGUGCUAGAGGUCGAUUUUGAAAUAGAGAUAAAUUAUAUUUUGAGCGCAUACUUUCACUGUCAACGCAACAACAAUGAGAUGGUUGUAUCUUCCAUACUACAUGCAUUAUAGGCAGUUCCCAAACAGAAUGGUAAAGGUUUAUACUCCCCCUCCUCCACAAGCAUCAAUCCAUGGCUUGCUCAAAACAAUGAGUGCCUCCAACAUUCAACAGGUCCCAUGGGAGUUUUGUUUAAUUAUUUUGAUUUGCUUCGAUCUUUUUGGAUCAUGGGACUGGGCAUCCCGGUUACCGGCCCUUUCUCGUGAAUGAGGAGCGGAGUCCACUCCUCUUGAGAAUAACCCACCUAGCAUGGAAGAUAUAGGCAGCCCUAGUUUCACAUGAGCUGCUCGAGCAUACAAAACAAAAAUUCAUUUGAAGGUUUGGAGUUUGGCACAUACAAAUUUACUUGGAACGGCAGGUAGAUACCGCAUAUAGGAAGGUAUAGUGGACUCUUAUGGAACAACUUUGGGGUUUAAGGAGUUCGGAUGCACAAGCAGUAUUCCCACUUAGUACAGGUGAAGGCUAGCAAAAGACUGGGAAGAGACCAACUGAGAGACGGACAACAGUCGUAAACAUGCAUCAAAAUUAAUUUACACCGAAUACAAGCAUGAGUAGGAUAUAAUCCACCAUGAACUUAAAUAUCAUGAAGGCUAUGUUGAUACGAUUCAACUACACGUGUGAACAUGUGCCAAGUCUAGUCACUCAAUUCAUUUAAAGGAGGAUACCAUCCCAUCAUACCACAUCAUAAUCAUUCUAAUAGCAUGUUGGCACGCAAGGUAAACCAUUAUAACUCAUAGCUAAUCAAGCAUGGCACAAGCAACUAUAAUCUCUAUAAGUCAUUGCAAAUAUGUUUAGUUCAUAAUAGCUGAAUCAGGAACGAUGAAUCAUCAUAUUUACAAAAACAAGAGAGGUCGAGUUCAUACCAGCUUUUCUCAUCCCAAUAAGUCCACCAUAUAUCAUCAUUAUUGCCUUUCACUUGCACGACCGAAUGGUGUGCAUAAUAAUAAGAGUGGACGUGCAUUGGACUAAGCUGGAAUCUGCAAGCAUUCAACUCAAGAGAGAAGACAAGUAAUAUGGGCUCUAUGUUAGAUAAGCAUUAAAGCAUAUAAGAGCCACUAAGCAUUUUCAAUAUAGUCUUCUUGACCCCCAAAGAAAGGAAAAGAAAUAAAAACUAUUUACACGGGAAAGCUCCCAACAAGCAAAAAAACAGGAAAUACUUUUGGGUUUUCUUUUUAAUUAUUACUACUACAGCAGGAAAAAUAGACUAACUAAUUUUUUUUGUUUUUCUAAAGGUUUAUCAAACACACAAGAAGAAAGCUAGAAAAAGAAAUUAAACUAGCAUGGAUAUUACAGUGAAAGAGUAUGAGCACCGACAUCUAUCAAUGAGUGUGUGUGAACAUAAAUGUAAUGUCGGUGAGAAAUACGUACUCCCGCAAGCUUAGGCUUUUGGCCUAAGUUGGUCUAUUGCCAGGGAUAGCCUGGCUGAUACCCGUAGGUGUAGCUGGGGUCGUACUACGAUGUAGAGGAGUCUGAUUGCCACUGGCUGGCAACCGCCUCAGGAUCCCAAGAAUAAACAGACAUUCGUCGAGGCCCAUCUUGUGGCUCUGGUUCCGGGGCUGGUGCAGGAUUCCGAUAGGCUUGAACGGCCGCCCACGGAACAAUGUAAGAACCUGUAGACAAGUUAAACAAAGAGGGAGCAGGCAAAGUAAUAGUCUCAGGGUGAUGUUUAUCAAAGUACAAUUUAUAUUUAAGCUCCCCUUCGCGACUCUUAACAAGAAAAUCAUGCGCUAGCAUACUCUUAUAAUCUAAAUAAGCAUGGGGCAGCGUUGUUUCUUGUUUCUUCUCAUGCCUAAUAGGUAUCUCAAAAUAUUCAGCUAGGCGCGAAGCAUAAAUGCCUCCAAAGAUGGGGCCCUUAGUACGGUUCAGACUUAACCGUCUAGCAACAAUUCCACCCAUACUAACAGAGUUAUUGCGGUAUAAACCAUGGAACAAAAUGAUAAUAUCAGGAAUGCUAAGGUUUCCACAGUUCCCGCGACCAAUCAAGCAACGACUAGCAAAUAAGGCAAAGUAGCGUAAAACAGGAAAAUGUAUGCUAGUAAUUCUUGCAACGGAAACCUUACUGGUUUCUCCCAUAGUGAUAGUGUUAAUAAAAGCUUCUACUUCAUUACGGUGUGGUUCAUCUAAGGUGCCCUCAAAGGGUAUUUUGCAAACCUCGCAAAAUUCAGCUAAUGGCAUCUCUUUAACAACGUCAUAUAAAUGAAACUCUACUGUUGGAGGUGAUUUCUUAGGGAAAAAGUAGAAGUUCUGCACAAAAGUAUUUGUGAGUAAGAGAUACUGAUGACGUUGGUCGCGGAGGAAGUCGGUGAGGCCGACGUUCUCAAUUAAUAGAUAGAAAUUCUCAUAAAUCCCUGCACUCCUCAAGAAUUCAUCGGAAGGCCAUUCACACGGCCGGACGUCCGCGGUGCGAGGCAAAUUAAAUUUGGGCUUCUGCUCUUCUUCCUUUUGUUUUUCCUUCGAGCUUCGGCUCGACGAGCCCCUCAAAAAUCUCUUCAUUAUUUUUUGAAACAAUCUGAAAUUUUUAGUAACUUCAAAUAAAUGUGAACCAAUUUCAGUAAAAUUUAUAGUAACAACUCCCACAAGUGCCUAGAGCCUAUAUAGAGCAUUAGAACUACUUGGAACCAUAUAAAUUUGACAUGCAAGCUCAAGAACAUGGUCACCUAUGCAGCACAAGUUUGCAAUGAAUAAAUCACUAGAACAAAAACUAAUUGGACCAAUGGAGGAGUCACAUACCAAGGAACAAUCUCCCCAAGCAGUUUUGCGAGAGGUGCUUUGAGCAAGGAGAUCGAAAAUCGCAGCAAAAGUUGCUGGAACACGAGCUUGAGUUGGUUUUUCGGGUUUGUGUGAGACAGAGGAAGAAGAUGGAUGCAGGGAUAAGUGGAGGAGGUCCACCGUGGGCCCACGAUGCAGGGGGGCGCGCCCAGGGGGGUAGGGCGCGCCCUCCACCCUCGUGACCAGGUAGCAGCUCCUCCCGCGGUAAUUUUUGCACUAAAAAUCCUCAAAUAUUCCCGAAAAAAUCAUAUUAAAUUGGCAUGGCAUUCUGAGGACUUUUAUUUUCGGAAUAUUUUUAUAUUGCACGGAUAAGUCGGGAGACAGACAGGAAAAUACUAUUUUACUUUAUUUCUAAUAAGUAACAGAAAAUAUAAAGAGGGUACAGAAGGUUGUGCUUCUAGUUUCAUCCAUCUCAUGCUCAUCAAAAGGAAUCCACUAACAAGGUUGAUCAAGUCUUGUUAACAAACUCAUUCCGAUUAACAUGAAACCGGAGAAAUUUCGAAUAACACUAUGUUACCUCAACGGGGAUAUGGACAUCCCCAAUAAUAAGUAUAUCAUAUUUCUUCUUGACAGCGGGGAGAGGAAAUUCAAAACCUCCAAAUAUAAUCGAAGGAAUUUUUCCAAUAGAGUUGAUACUAUAAACUUGAGGUUGUUUCCUCGGAAAGUGUACCGUGUGCUCAUUACCAUUAACAUGAAAAGUGACAUUGCCUUUGUUUCAAUCAAUAACAGCCCCUGCAGUAUUAAGGAAAGGUAUUCCAAGAAUAAUAGACAUACUAUCAUCCUCAGGAAUAUCAAGAAUAACACAGUCCGUUAAAAUAGUAACGUUUGCAACCAGAACAGGCACAUCCUCACAAAUACCGACAGGUAUAGCAGUUGAUUUAUCAGCCAUUUACAAAGAUAUUUCAGUAGGUGUGAACUUAUUCAAGUCAAGUCUACGAUAUAAAGAGAGAGGCAUAACGCUAACACCGGCUCCAAGAUCACAUAAAGCAGUUUUAACAUAAUUUCUUUUAAUGGAGCAUGGUUUAGUAGGUACUCCUGGAUCUCCAAGUUUCUUUGGUAUUCCACCCUUAAAAGUAUAAUUAGCAAGCAUAGUGGAUAUUUCAGCUUCAGGUAUCUUUCUUUUAUUAGUAAUAAUAUCCUUCAUAUACUUAGAAUAAGGAUUUGUUUUGAGCACAUCAGUUAAUCGCAUACGCAAAAAGAUGGGUCUAAUCAUUUCAGCAAAGCGAUUAAAAUCCUCAUCAUCCUUUUUCUUGGAUGGUUUCAGGGGAAAAGGCAUGGGUUUUUGAACCCAUGGUUCCCUUUCUUUACCAUGCUUCCUAGCAAUGAAGUUUCUUUUAUCAUAGUGUUGAUUCCUUGAUUGUGGGUUAUCAAGAUCAACAGCAAGUUCAACUUCUACAUCAUUAUCAUUACUAGGUUGAGAAUCAACAUGAACAUUAUCAUUAACAUUUUCACUAGGUUCAUGUUCAUCACCUGAUUGUGUUUCAGCAUCAGAAAUAGAAAUAUCAUUUGGAUUAUCAGGUGGUUCAGCAAUAGGUUCACUAGAAGUUUGCAUAGUACUAUCAUUUUUCUUUUUCUUCCUUUUAGAAGAACUGGGCAUAUCAACAUUAUUUCUCUGUGAAUCUUGCUCGAUUCUCUUAGGGUGGCCUUCAGGAUACAAAGGUUCCCGAGUCAUUCUACCAGUUCUAGUAGCCACUCUAACGGCAUAAUCAUUUUUCUUACUAUUCAUUUCAUUAAGCACUUCUUUCUAAGCUUUAAGUACUUAUUCUACUUGAGUGGUAACCAUAGAAGCAUGUUUGCUAACCAGUUUAAGUUCACCUCUAAUAUUAGCCAUAUAAUCACUUAAGCGUUUAAUCAUAAAGGUAUUCUGUUUUAAUUGUCUACCAAAAUAAGCAUUAAAGUCAUCUUGCUUAAACAUAAAUUCAUCAAACUAAUCCAAGCACUGACUAGCAAUUUUAGUAGGAGGGACUUUAGUUUUAUCAUAUCUGUAGAGAGAAUUUACCUUUACUACCUGUGUCGGGAUACCGGGAGGUUCUUCAGUAAAUAAGUAAUUGAGAUCAUAUACUUCUUCAACUGGCGGUAAAUUAAGGCCAUGUAUUUCUUCAAUAGGAGGUAAAUUCUUAACAUCUUCAGCUUUAAUACCUUUUUCUUUCAUAGAUUUCUUUGCCUCUUGCAUAUCUUCGGGACUGAGAAAUAGAACACCUCUCUUCUUCGGAGUUGGUUUAGGAAUAGGCUCAGUAAUUGGCUCGGGAGUUGGCUCAGGAGGUGCCCAAUUAUUUUCAUUUGUCAACAUAUUAUUCAAUAGAAUUUCAGCUUCAUCCGGUGUUCUUUCCCUGAAAAGAGAACCAGCACAGCUAUCCAGGUAAUCUCUAGAAGCAUCAGUUAGUCCAUUAUAAAAGAUAUCAAGUAUUUUAGGUUUCUUAAGAGCAUGAUCAGGAAAAGCAUUAAGUAACUUGAGAAGCAUCCCCCAAGCUUGUGGGAGACUCUCCUCUUCAAUUUGCACAAAAUUAUAUAUAUCCCUCAAAGCAGUUUGUUUCUUAUGAGCAGGGAAAUAUUUAGCAGAGAAGUAAUAAACCAUAUCCUGGGGACUUUGCACACAACCAGGAUCAAGAGAAUUAAACCAUAUCUUAGCAUCACCCUUUAAUGAGAACGGAAAUAUUUUGAGUAAAUAAAGGUAGCGUGAUCUCUCAUUAUUAGUAAACAGGGCAUCUAUAUCAUCUAACUUACGAAGAUGUGCCAUAACAGUUUCAGAUUCAUAGUCAUAAAAAGGAUCAGAUUGAACCAAAGUAAUUAUAUCUGGAUCAACAGAAAAAUCAUAAUAAUCCUGAUCAGGAACACAGAUAGGUGAAGUAGCAAAAGCAGGGUCAGGUCUCAUCCUACCUCUAAAAGAUUCUUUACUCCAUUUAACUAGCAACCUAUUACGUUCAAGACUAUCCUAGCAAGCAAGAAUAGCUUCAGCAGAUUCAGCAUUAAAAAGGUAACCCUCAAGAAUAGCAGGCCUAUUUUCAUCAUCACUAACAUCAUCGUGUUCAGUUUCAAUAAUUUCUCUUUCUCUAGACUUAGAAAUUUGUUCAUCUAGAAAUUCACCAAGAGGCACAGUAGUAUCAAGCAUAGAAGUAGUUUCAUCAUAAGUAUCAUGCAUAGCAGAAGUGCCAUUAUCAAUAACAUGCGACAUAUUGGAACGAAUAGCAGAAGCAGGUUUAGGUGUCGCUAGCUUGUUUAUAACAGAAGGUGAAUCAAGUGCAGAGCUAGAUGGCAGUUCCUUAUCUCCCCUCGUAGUUGAGGGAUAAAUAGUUGUCUUAGCGUCUUUCAGGUUCUUCAUAGUGUCCAGCAGAUAUAAAUCCCAAGUGACUAAAAGAAUAGAGCUAUGUUCCCCGGCAAUGGCACCAGAACAAGGUCUUGAUAACCCACAAGUAUAGGGGAUCACAACAGUUUUCGAGGGUAGAGUAUUCAACCCAAAUUUGUUGAUUCAACACAAGGGGAGCCAAAGAAUAUUCUCAAGUAUUAGCAGCUGAGUUGUCAAUUCAACCACACCUGGAAACUUAGUAUCUGCAGCAAAGUGUUUAGUAGCAAAGUAAUAUGAUAGUGGUGGUAAUGGUAACAAAAGUGAAGACAGCAAAAGUAAUGUUUUUGGUAUUUUGUAGUGAUUGUAACAGUAACAAUGGAAAAGUAAAUAAGCGAGAACCAGUAUAUGAAACACUCGUAGGCACCGGAUCAAUGAUGGAUAAUAAUGCCGGAUGUGGUUCAUCAUGUAAUAGUCAUAACAUAGGGUGACACAGAACUAGCUCCAGUUCAUCAAUGUAAAGUAGGCAUGUAUUCCGAAUAUAGUCAUACAUGCUUAUGGAAAAGAACUUGCAUGACAUCUUUUGUCCUACCCUCCCGUGGGAGCGGGGUCCUAUUGGAAACUAAGGGAUAUUAAGGCCUCCUUUUAAUAGAGAACCGGAACAAAGCAUUAGCACAUAGUGAAUACAUGAACUCCUCAAACUAUGGUCAUCACCGAGAAGUAUCCCGAUUAUUGUCACUUCGGGGUUGUCGGAUCAUAACACAUAAUAGGUGACUAUAGACUUGCAAGAUAGGAUCAAGAACACGCAUAUACUCAUGAAAACAUAAUAGCUUCAGAUCUGAAAUCAUGGCACUCGGGCCUUAGUGACAAGCAUUAAGCACAGCAAAGUCAUAGCAACAUCAAUCUCAGAACAUAGUGGAUACUAGGGAUCAAACCCUAACAAAAAUAACUUGAUUACAUGAUAAAUCUCAUCCAACCCAUCACCGUCGAGCAAGCCUACGAUGGAAUUACUCACGGACGGCUGUGAGCAUCAUGAAAUUGGUGAUGGAGGAUGGUUGAUGAUGACGACGGCGACGAAUCCCCCUCUCCGGAGCCCCAAACAGACUCCAGAUUAGCCCUCCCGAGAGAGAUUAGGGCUUGGCGGCGGCUCCGUAUUGGAAAACGCGAUGAAACUUCUCUCUCUGAUUAUUUUCUCCCCGAAAGCCAAUAUAUGGAGUUGGAGUUGGCGUCGGAGGGCAUCCAGGGGGGCCACGAGGUAGGGGGCGCCCCCAGGGGGGAGGGGCGCGCCCCCCACCCUUGUGGACAAAGUGUGGGGCCCCUGGUCUUCAUCUUUGGUGAGGAUUUUUUAUUAUUUAUUCUAAGAUAUUCCGUGGAGUUUCAGGUCAUUCCGAGAACUUUUGUUUUCUGCACAUAAAAUAACAUCAUGGUAAUUCUGCUGAAAACAGCGUCAGUCCGGGUUAGGUCCAUUCAAAUCAUACAAGUUAGAGUCCAAAACAAGGGCAAAAGUGUUUGGAAAAGUAGAUACGAUGGAGACGUAUCAGGACCCCAAAACGAGGAGUAAUAGUCCAUGAAACGGGCCAGAA
rnacentral:lncRNA from 1 species